rnacentral:lncRNA from 1 species
UUGUACCUUCUUUGUCAGCAAACAUUGAUCAGUCGGUUCCGGGUUAGUUUAUGCUUCAGUUUGUUGAUUGUAAAUUAACCAACCAAGAUAUAGAAAUAUCUUGCUUCAGGGGUUGCACUGAAAUCUUUCGAGUACUCGGACAACAUCUUCAUUACUUCCACAAUCUUGAAUACUUCAAUCUUUAUUCUUCACUGAGGCAUGAACAUAUUAAUGAACUUCUUCCAGUGAACUUAUUCCUUCAAGACUGUAGAUGGCUUCUUCAACCUUUGUCUUCGUAUCUUCCGAUUCCGGUGCAGGCGUAGUGUUAUUUACUUGUCCUGUUCUAUUGUUGAGUUAUCAUCCCUAUGUAACAGAUAGGGUUGUCUUUACAUUUAG